rnacentral:rRNA from 1 species
UGCGCAGGCGGAUUUGUGCGUCAGAGGUUAAAUACCCCGGCUUAACCGGGGAUAUGCCUUUGAUACGGCAGAUCUUGAGUAUGAGAGAGGAUGGUAGAAUUCCUGGUGUAGCGGUGAAAUGCGUAGAUAUCAGGAGGAAUACCCGUGGUGAAGACGGCCAUCUGGCUCAUUACUGACGCUCAGGCACGAAAGCGUGGGGAGCAAACAGGAUUAGAUACCCUGGUAGUCCACGCCUUAAACGAUGUAUGCUUGGUGUUGGGGGGGUUCCCCCAGUGCCGGAGGUAACCCAUUAAGCAUACCACCUGGGGAGUACGAUCGCAAGGUUGAA